rnacentral:lncRNA from 1 species
AGAAGUAAUUGAAUCCAUUUAAUAGUAUUGCCUUUACAGGGAAGACGUGUGGACUUUGCUGCAGAAGUCCCUAGUUUCUCCCAAUGCAACUCCAGUCUUUGUGGGAUUCACUUGUUUCUGUUUUUGGACUCUCAUGAGAGACACUUGUGUGACCUGGAAUGAGCCCAAAUGUCCUUAUUUUGCCAGUGAUGGAGAGAUAUUGGGAGGACGUAACAGAAGAAGUGAUGUAAGAGGCAGUGCAAUCAUGCUAUUUAUCAAAAGGAACACUCGACAAUCACAAUGGACUUCAGAGCUGUGUCCUGAGCCAUCUGGUCAACUCUUGGCAAGAAACUUCUUUGUUCUUUAG